rnacentral:tRNA from 1 species
GCGGGAUUAGUUUAAUGGUAGAACAACAGUUUUCCAAACUGUGAGCAGGAGUUCGAUUCUCCUAUCCCGCA